rnacentral:rRNA from 1 species
AUUGAACGCUGGCGGCAUGCCUUACACAUGCAAGUCGAACGGUAACAGGUCUUCGGAUGCUGACGAGUGGCGAACGGGUGAGUAAUACAUCGGAACGUGCCUAGUAGUGGGGGAUAACUACUCGAAACAGUGGCUAAUACCGCAUGAGAUCUACGGAUGAAAGCAGGGGAUCGCAAGACCCUGUGCUACUAGAGCGGCCGAUGGCAGAUUAGGUAGUUGGUGGGAUAAAAGCUUACCAAGCCGACGAUCUGUAGCUGGUCUGAGAGGACGAUCAGCCACACUGGGACUGAGACACGGCCCAGACUCCUACGGGAGGCAGCAGUGGGGAAUUUUGGACAAUGGGCGCAAGCCUGAUCCAGCAAUGCCGCGUGCAGGAUGAAGGCCUUCGGGUUGUAAACUGCUUUUGUACGGAACGAAAAGCCCCGGGUUAAUACCCUGGGGUCAUGACGGUACCGUAAGAAUAAGCACCGGCUAACUACGUGCCAGCCGCCGCGGUAA